GACGAACGCUGGCGGCGUGCCUAAUACAUGCAAGUAGAACGCACAGUUUAUACCGUGGCUUGCUACACCAUAGACUGUGAGUUGCGAACGGGUGAGUAACGCGUAGGUAACCUGCCUGGUAGCGGGGGAUAACUAUUGGAAACGAUAGCUAAUACCGCAUAAUAUUAAUUAUUGCAUGAUAAUUAAUUGAAAGGUGCAAUUGCACCACUACCAGAUGGACCUGCGUUGUAUUAGCUAGUAGGUGAGGUAACGGCUCACCUAGGCGACGAUACAUAGCCGACCUGAGAGGGUGAUCGGCCACACUGGGACUGGGACACGGCCCAGACUCCUACGGGAGGCAGCAGUAGGGAAUCUUCGGCAAUGGACGAAAGUCUGACCGAGCAACGCCGCGUGAGUGAAGAAGGUUUUCGGAUCGUAAAGCUCUGUUGUAAGAGAAGAACGGGUGUGAGAGUGGAAAGUUCACACUGUGACGGUAUCUUACCAGAAAGGGACGGCUAACUACGUG
rnacentral:rRNA from 1 species